rnacentral:rRNA from 1 species
UGGGGAAUAUUGCACAAUGGGCGCAAGCCUGAUGCAGCCAUGCCGCGUGUAUGAAGAAGGCCUUCGGGUUGUAAAGUACUUUCAGCGGGGAGGAAGGGAGUAAAGUUAAUACCUUUGCUCAUUGACGUUACCCGCAGAAGAAGCACCGCCUAACUCCGUGCCAGCAGCCGCGGUAAUACGGAGGGUGCAACCGUUAACCGGAAUUACUGGGCGUAACGCGCACGCAGGCGGUUUGUUAAGUCAGAUGUGAAAUCCCCGGGCUCAACCUGGGAACUGCAUCUGAUACUGGCAAGCUUGAGUCUCGUAGAGGGGGGUAGAAUUCCAGGUGUAGCGGUGAAAUGCGUAGAGAUCUGGAGGAAUACCGGUGGCGAAGGCGGCCCCCUGGACGAAGACUGACGCUCAGGUGCGAAAGCGUGGGGAGCAAACAGG